rnacentral:tRNA from 1 species
AAGUAAGAAGCAAUAGCUUGCAUCUAGUUUCGACCUAGGGGAAUGAUUAAAUUAAUCCUUACUUA